rnacentral:rRNA from 1 species
GGUAUUGAAAUAAGAUUUUAAAUGAGUGCUAAGAGAAUGAUUAAACAAUUAAAAGCUUUCUUUAAUUAAAAAAUUAAAUUUAAUUUUUUUAGUGCAAAAGCAAAAAUAAAAUUUAGGGACAAGAAGACCCUAUGAAUUUUUAUUGUUAAUAAUUAAUAUUUAAGUUAUUAAUAAUUUAAUUGGGGCGAUAAAAAAAGAAUAAGUAUCUUUUUAGUUAUAAAAUAAGUUCCGUUUUUAACGAUUAAAUGAAAUAAAUACUCUAGGGAUAACAGCGUAAUAAUUUUGGAUAGUUCAUAUAGAUAAAAUAGUUUGCGACCUCGAUGUUGGAUUAGGAUUCUUUUUUGGUGAAGAA